rnacentral:rRNA from 1 species
AUUGAACGCUGGCGGCAGGCCUAACACAUGCAAGUCGAGCGGCAGCGGGAAAGUAGCUUGCUACUUUUGCCGGCGAGCGGCGGACGGGUGAGUAAUGCCUGGGGAUCUGCCCAGUCGAGGGGGAUAACUACUGGAAACGGUAGCUAAUACCGCAUACGCCCUACGGGGGAAAGCAGGGGACCUUCGGGCCUUGCGCGCUUGGAUGAACCCAGGCGGGAUUAGCUAGUUGGUGAGGUAAUGGCUCACCAAGGCGACGAUCCCUAGCUGGUCUGAGAGGAUGAUCGGCCACACUGGAACGGAGACACGGUCCAGACUCCUCCGGGAGGCAGCAGUGGGGAAUAUUGCACAAUGGGGGAAACCCUGAUGCAGCCAUGCCGCGUGUGUGAAGAAGGCCUUCGGGUUGUAAAGCACUUUCAGCGAGGAGGAAAGGUUGGUAGCUAAUAACUGCCAGCUGUGACGUUACUCGCAGAAGAAGCACCGGCUAACUCCGUGCCAGCCGCCGCGGUAAAAC